rnacentral:rRNA from 1 species
AUUGAACGCUGGCGGCAUGCUUUACACAUGCAAGUCGAACGGGCUUGGGGGCUUGCUCCCAAGUUAGUGGCGAACGGGUGAGUAAUACAUCGGAACGUACCGUGUAGUGGGGGAUAACGUAGCGAAAGUUACGCUAAUACCGCAUACAAUCUACGGAUGAAAGCAGGGGACCUUCGGGCCUUGUGCUAUACGAGCGGCCGAUGUCUGAUUAGCUAGUUGGUGAGGUAAAGGCUCACCAAGGCGACGAUCAGUAGCGGGUCUGAGAGGAUGAUCCGCCACACUGGGACUGAAACACGGUCCAUACACCUACGGGUGGCAGCAGUAGGGAAUAUUGCACAAUGGGCGAAAGCCUGAUGCAGCAACGCCGCGUGUGCGAUGAA